GCCGACGUUCAAGACGAAUGCGCACGGACGUUACGGCUCUUCAUUAAGGAUUUAUCUCUGGAAGACUGAAAACAAGGCAUUGAGGUUGACCUGCAGUGAUUAAAGCAGAAUGCGCAUGGGACUUUGGGGUUCUUUUAGAAGUGGAAGAUCCACUUAUACUUUCAUGGUAACAGCCAAAACAGGACUUGACUGAAAAGGAAGUCUUUGACUGCUUCAUGACCCUGGAAUUGAUGCAGCUCAUUGCAGAGGAAACCAACUAGUUCACAAACCAGUAUGACUGUCUCACAUCUCACAUUAUUGGUCUUGCAAUCCAUUGAUAGGCUACCAUGUAUUUGCCUAGAUGAUGGUGAGAUUGAAGCCCAGUAAAUAUACUUCAACUUUUCGGACAUCAGUGGUGCUCAUGCCAACAACGACUGGUUGUGGAAGUUCCAGCCAUCAUUGACACACUUUCUUGCCAGUUCUUGAUGGUGUACAUCCUUUCUAAGAGGAUUACAACCCUUUGGUGUGACAUGGUGUACAGUCUGUGUUCCAGUGGAUAUCCCAUGCCUUCUGGAUAUAUGUGGGUCAGGACCAUGGCAAUCUUCCUGCUAGUAUGAAGGCUGUCUUGAACUUGUUUGGAAAAUUCUAUGAGCUGCACUUGGAUGAGUGGUACUGCCUGCUACUCCUAUUCCAUUACUUUCGGUCCCAUUCCACCAGUCAGGUUGUCACCCUAUCAGCCAACUGAUGAGGAGUUAUUUAGGUCAAACUAAGUGUAGUGGUGAUUACAACAUGGACAUGGAUUAUGUAGAUUUUAGUGACUAGCUCAGGCAGUGUGUCAUCACUGCCUAUGCGGUCCAUAAACCUCUCAGGAGCACGAUGACAUAGUUUGAGGUUCAGAUGGUCCUAAUCUGAUUUCUCAUGCACUAGUGGAGAAUUGGAAGGAGGAGGAAUCAAACUGAAUUGGCUGCUACACCUGGCAAUAGGAGCUUUCAUUUUUAUUGGUGUGUAAACGGCAGAGGGUGACACACAUCAUGUAUGAGUGCUGUAGCAUGCCUCUGUGUCCUCUGAAGUGCUUCAAACACUUUCAUAAUCAGAGAAAGGAGUAGGAGAAGUAUGGAGAAGGAGGAGUUGUGAUUAUUGUAUAUGCCUUUU